rnacentral:rRNA from 1 species
CUUAGCAUGAAGUGAAGCACAUACACCUGCUGAAUUUAAGCAUAUAAGUAAGUGGUGGAAAUUAAACCAAAUGGGAUAUCUUUAGUAAUUGCGAAUGAACAAGGAUAUGCUUAGCUUGACAAAUGGAGCUAUUGGCUUUGAAUUGUAUUGUGGAAAUGUAUUACCAACAGAGGUGCAGGUGCCAGCCUAUUGAAAUAAAGCGUCAAUGAGGGUGAGAAUCCUGUUUGUCAUGUGCAGCCCUUUGUGCACGGUGUAUAUUUGCUGAGUCACACUCCUUGGCAUUGGAAUGCAAAGUGGGUGGUAAGUUUCAUGUAAAGGUAAACAUGCAAUUGAGACUGAUAGCACACAAGUACCAUGAGGGAAAUAUGAAAAGGACUUUGAAAAGAGAAUUAAAUGAGUUUGUAUUUGCUGAACACAAAGUAAACAGACUUGAUUUGCUUGGUGGGAGUGUUGCACUUGCUUGACAAGAGCUUUGGGCUGUGGGUGUAAUGAUUCUUUCUUUGCAUGCCAGUUUCUAUUUGUACAUCUGAUUACCUUUGCACAUGAAUGAUAAGUCUCCUGUGGGGGGCGGAUUGCAUGUGCAUGUAAUGAUUUGUGUUUUGAUAAAUGUGUCUGGUGUAUGUGUGUGUUCCUGUGCUUGGGGAUGCUUCCUUCCUUGGACUUACAAGCCCUGACACACACAUGCUGGCAAAAUGCUUCUGCUUGACCCGUCUUGAAACACGGACCAAGGAGUCUAACAGAUGUGCAAAGUUUGAAGGUGGUAUACCUUUGUGUGCAAUGAAAGUGUCAGCUGGGAUAUGUGCACCAGCACCCAAUUAAUUAGCGGACAGAGGUUUGAGUUGGAGCAUAUCUAUUAGGACCCGAAAGAUGGUGAACUAUGCCUGAACAGAAUGAAUUCAGAGGAAACUCUGAUGGAGGUUCGUAUCGAUACUGACGUGCAAAUCGUUCG